UGCCAGCAGCCGCGGUAAAACGUAGGAGGCGAGCGUUAUCCGGAUUUACUGGGUGUAAAGCGCAUGCAGGCGGUACAUUAAGUUGGGUGUGAAAGCUCCUGGCUCAACUGGGAGAGGUCGCUCAAGACUGAUGAACUAGAGCGUGGUAAGGGAAGGUGGAAUUCCGGGUGUAGUGGUGAAAUGCGUAGAUAUCCGGAGGAACACCAGUGGCGAAGGCGGCCUUCUGGACCACGACUGACGCUCAGAUGCGAAAGCUAGGGAAGCAAACGGGAUUAGAGACCCCGGUAGUCCUAGCCGUAAACGAUGUGAACUUGGCGGUAGGUGGGUAAAACCAUUUACUGCCGCAGCAAACGCGAUAAGUUCACCACCUGGGGACUACGGCCGCAAGGUUAAAACUCAAAGGAAUUGACGGGGGCCCGCACA
rnacentral:rRNA from 1 species